rnacentral:lncRNA from 1 species
AAACUCCUCUGCCUCCCAAGAUCCCGUCCCCCCUGGGCAGGCGGGGAGCGGAGUGGGGCCGGGGAGCAGCGUUCCUCUCCCGCCGGAGCCAGAGCGACGUCGUUCUUCUCUCAUCUUCCGGCUCCCACCGCUCGGGUCUCUCCAGCUGCCCUUUCCAGGCCCUCUCUCGGUUCCCAAAAAGCAGGAGGGAACGGGGAGGAGGGGGGCGACGGUGUGCGUUUAACCGCAAACUCUCUCCAGACAGCGCUCACCUUCCACCUUCACUGCCCAGACCAGACGUGCGCCUCAGGUCGGGCAGCUCCCACCGGGACAGAAAACGCCUGCGGCCCGGCCACCUCGCGCCCCCCACCGCUCUGCCAGCGUCCCGGGCCGCCGAUCGCGAGCUGGCGCUGCCGGCGUUGGUCCCCGCCGUCGGCCGGGCGCCCGGAGCGCUCUGGCGGCCCCCAACCUCGGGCCCGACUCCCCGCGCCGCAGACGGCGCUUACCUGCUUACAUGGCCCCGUCGGUGCCCCAGAGUCCCGCGCGGAAAGGCUGUCGUCCGCGGCGGUGGCGGCGGCGGCGGAGCCCCAAUUCCCUAAGGAAUUGAUUCCAGUGGCUGGCGGAGGAGGGGCGGAGGGAAGGAGCCGGAGGAGGCGAAAGGGGAGGGAGGUUUCCGCCGCGAUCCCGGCGCACCGACAAGGAGAAAAGGAGAGCCACCUAGGCACGGGGUUGUCCCGCCGGAGGGGGGCCGGGGCCAGGAGGCCGCGGAGGAUGGGUGAGGUGGGAGGGGAGGGACAGACCGCGACCACCGGGUGUCUGCGGCUCCCCGAGGACCGGAGCCGGGAGGCCGGGCAGCGGAGCGAGGAGGAGCGCUGCAACCUGCCCCCGGACUGCGCCGGCUGCGCCCGCUCGCUCGGGGCGGGGGGAGAAAAAGUUGGGCAGAACUUUCCGGGGCCGCGAGAGCCCGGGCGGCAGGAAAUGCGAGCGGCCGGGAGAGGAGGGAGGAAGGGGCCGUGCGAUGGGAGGGGACGGAGCAGGCGCCGGCGGCCGUGGCUCCCCCACCCCCGGGCCGGGCGGCGGCGCAGGGGGCCGGAGGCGGAGGGAGCGCGGGGCGCGCGGCCGGGGGCGGGGAGGAAUGCGCCCGGGAGGCGCGCGCGGCGGGGCGGCGGGGCGGCGGGGCGGCGGGGGGGGGGGGCGUCCGCGCGGGGGAGCGCCGAAACUUGGAGCCCGAGCUCCCGGGCUGGAGGCGAGCCGGCCUCGGGGACGUCACAGCGCUGGAAUCCGAGGAAUGCCGGGCGGCAGGAGCUCCGUGUGCAGGCCCGGGAGCAGUCGCGCACUUUUGGAGCGGUGGCUUGGGGAACUGUUUAA